CAGUCGAACGGAGCCUUAACAAAGAAGCAGCCAGCUUGCUGGAAGCGGAAAAGGGAAAGGCUUAGUGGCGGACGGGUGAGUAACGCGUGGGUAACCUGGCCCAUACAGGGGGAUAACACUUAGAAAUAGGUGCUAAUACCGCAUAACAACAGAAAGCGCAUGCUUUUUGUUUGAAAACCAAGGUGGUAUGGGAUGGACCCGCGUCUGAUUAGCUGGUUGGCGGGGUAAAGGCCCACCAAGGCGACGAUCAGUAGCCGGCCUGAGAGGGUGGACGGCCACAUUGGGACUGAGACACGGCCCAAACUCCUACGGGAGGCAGCAGUGGGGAAUAUUGCACAAUGGGGGAAACCCUGAUGCAGCGACGCCGCGUGAGUGAAGAAGUAAUUCGUUAUGUAAAGCUCUAUCAGCAGGGAAGAAAAUGACGGUACCUGAGUAAGAAGCCCCGGCUAACUACGUGCCAGCAGCCGCGGUAAUACGUAGGGGGCAAGCGUUAUCCGGAUUUACUGGGUGUAAAGGGAGCGUAGACGGCAGUGCAAGUCUGGAGUGAAAGGCGGGGGCUCAACCCCCGGACUGCUCUGGAAACUGUACGGCUGGAGUGCAGGAGAGGUAAGUGGAAUUCCUAGUGUAGCGGUGAAAUGCGUAGAUAUUAGGAGGAACACCAGUGGCGAAGGCGGCUUACUGGACUGUAACUGACGUUGAGGCUCGAAAGCGUGGGGAGCAAACAGGAUUAGAUACCCUGGUAGUCCACGCCGUAAACGAUGAUCACUAGGUGUCGGGGGUUAAAGAACCUUCGGUGCCGCAGCCAACGCAGUAAGUGAUCCACCUGGGGAGUACGUUCGCAAGAAUGAAACUCA
rnacentral:rRNA from 1 species